CCCUGUAACUGAAUAAUCAGAAAUUACCUUACUCAUUGUUUGUUGGCUGCCUCCCAACCAGAAUGCAAGCUCAACGUAGCAGAUACCUUGCAGCCCCAUUCUCAUCUCUUUGGCCCACCUCUGUUUCAUCUGCUGAGAGUUCAGGUUCAUCUCCUGUUAACAAGGUCCCACCUCAAGCAGGUACAGAAGUAUUCUGCCUUCUGCCCUGGGUCUCUCCCGUGCCCUGGAGCAACUGGGCUUAUGUAUAAAAACACAGCCCUAAGGUCAUUUCAGCUGUUCCGUGAGGAAAAUGGUCUCAGAGCUGUGAUUCCAUUAGGAAUGAGAGGAGGGAUUGAUGGGAACUAUGUCAUUCUCUGUGAACCUCUGAGGUGUCUGUGGAGAUGAAAGCAAGUCCAAAAGAGAACCCAGCCUCUGUUGAGCACUAGUAGAAGAGCAUGGCUGCCCAAUGGGACUGCACGAUUUGCACCUACAGGGACAGCUGGAGGUCACAGCGCCAGGCAGACACCAGCAAGCCCAGAUGGCCAGCCUCGGGCACCAGCACCCACCACAAGUGCCUGCGAUGGAGAGAGGGCUGCUGGAGGUUCAGCUGAGCAGCUGCAAAACGAGGGAAUGCUGAGCGCAGGGUGGUUUGGGUUUUGGUUUUGAUUUGGGGGUUUUCUCUCCUUUGCACUUUCCCGGGAAAGCAUUUGAAUCCACACUUAUCUUCCUGGCUGAUUUCUUGUCUGAGUCUACUCUUUUUGUUCUUAAUCCAACAGGAUUAAUGUUCUUAAUUUCAUUUCGCUUUCUCUUUCUCCCUUUGAACUCCCAUCUCUACCUCUUCUGUUCUGAUCUCCUUU